UGUGUUUAGCCUCCUGCAGUCAUCCAGCCCUCACAUGAGGCCUGCCUGGCAAAGGUGAGGCCAAGAACUGUGGCAUCAACAGGCGGCCACGGUUAACUUUUACUGCGGUCAUGUGCAAGCAUCUGAGCGUCGACGGGAAACCAGCGAGGUUAUGAAAAGAAACAACAGACUGUAGACUCAAGGGAACUCGGAAGAUUUCUAGACCAUCUAUGCAGCUACUAUACGGCUGCUCCCACCAACGUCCUCACUGGGAAAAUAAAAAUGAAUAAAGCGCCUGAGAAAGCUGUGGCAAGAACCCCGGGAACCACACCACAGCAUCGAGGCAGACACUUGUUUCUGCUAGGGAGGAGAAAAAGAAUAGUUGACAUCAGUAAGGAAUUUUCCAGAGAACAAAGAGACAUUUCCAAUACUAAAAUUAACAAAC